rnacentral:miRNA from 1 species
UGAGGUAAGUAGACAGUAAAGGUU